AUGAUGGGGAAAUGCUUUGUUGCUCCUUCCGUUGAACCUAUGUUUCAGACCUUCAAUGGCCCUCAACACCUUGCCGAAACGCGUCGUUUCAAGGCUUGGUUCUUGGAUCAAUUUGGUGUCCUUCAUGAUGGCAAGCAACCUUACCCAGGCGUGAUUUCAACAUCUAUGUUUUCAUUUGAGUUUUAGCAUUUGGAAAAGCUGGCAACAACUGGUGCCAAGAUGGUGAUCAUAAUUAAUUCUUCAGGAUGUGCAUCAACAACAAUAGAGAAAUUGAAGAACCUAGGCUUUGAUCCUUCUCUCUUUAUGGGAGUCAUCACUGGCGGAGAAUUAACACAUCAGUACUUGCAAAUAUUUAUCACAUUCAGGAGGGGCAAUGCUUGGUUUGCUGCUCUUGGAAGGUCUUGCAUUCAUAUGACCUGGAGUGACAGGGGUGCUAUAUCUCUUGAGGGUUUGGGCCUACAAGUUAUUGAGAAUGUUGAAGAAGCUGAUUUUAUCUUAGCCCAUGGCACCGAAGCCUUGGGGCUUCCUUCAGGUUUGGUACGUUGGCAAAGAUAUGGCAACAGGGAGUUUUGCCAGAACAUUUGCUGA